rnacentral:rRNA from 1 species
UACGAAGGGAGCUAGCGUUGUUCGGAAUUACUGGGCGUAAAGGGCGCGUAGGCGGCUCUGUAAGUCAGAUGUGAAAGCCCUGGGCUUAACCUGGGAACUGCAUUUGAUACUGCAAGGCUAGAGAUCGAGAGAGGAAAGUGGAAUUACGAGUGUAGAAGUGAAAUUCGUAGAUAUUCGUAGGAACACCAGUGGCGAAGGCGACUUUCUGGCUCGAUACUGACGCUAAAAGCGCGAAAGCGUGGGGAGCAAACAGG